UACAGAGGGUGCAAGCGUUAAUCGGAAUUACUGGGCGUAAAGCGCGCGUAGGUGGUUUGUUAAGUUGGAUGUGAAAUCCCCGGGCUCAACCUGGGAACUGCAUCCAAAACUGGCGAGCUAGAGUAUGGUAGAGGGUGGUGGAAUUUCCUGUGUAGCGGUGAAAUGCGUAGAUAUAGGAAGGAACACCAGUGGCGAAGGCGACCACCUGGACUGAUACUGACACUGAGGUGCGAAAGCGUGGGGAGCAAACAGG
rnacentral:rRNA from 1 species